GGACCUGACCGCUAUCGGAUCGAUACUAAGCCACGCGAGUCAUCGUAGCAAUACAAGGCAUACGGCUCAGUAACGCGUAGUCAACCUAACCUAUGGACGGGAAUAACCUCGGGAAACUGAGAAUAAUGCCCGAUAGAACAUUAUGCCUGGAAUGGUUUAUGUUCCAAAUGAUUUAUCGCCGUAGGAUGGGACUGCGGCCUAUCAGUUUGUUGGUGAGGUAAUGGCCCACCAAGACUAUUACAGGUACGGGCUCUGAGAGGAGUAGCCCGGAGAUGGGUACUGAGACACGGACCCAGGCCCUAUGGGGCGCAGCAGGCGAGAAAACUUUGCAAUGUGCGAAAGCACGACAAGGUUAAUCCGAGUGGUUUCUGCUAAAGAAACCUUUUGUCAGUCCUAGAAACACUGAUGAAUAAGGGGUGGGCAAGUUCUGGUGU
rnacentral:rRNA from 1 species